rnacentral:rRNA from 1 species
UACGUAGGGGGCAAGCGUUGUCCGGAAUUAUUGGGCGUAAAGAGCUCGUAGGCGGUUUGUCGCGUCUGCUGUGAAAACUCGGGGCUUAACUCUGGGCCUGCAGUGGGUACGGGCAGACUAGAGUGCGGUAGGGGAGACUGGAAUUCCUGGUGUAGCGGUGAAAUGCGCAGAUAUCAGGAGGAACACCGGUGGCGAAGGCGGGCCUCUGGGCCGUAACUGACGCUGAGGAGCGAAAGCGUGGGGAGCGAACAGG